CCCGCUUGCUGCUUUCCUCCUGGAGAGCCUUUGGACCCCGCAGAUGAGGGCCUGUCCUCCUGGCUGGAAGAGCUGAGCUCCGAGUCGCUGUCGCUAGAAACCACUUUGCCUCUGGCCCAGGUGAAGGAGCGGCCCGUCCCCACGCUCCCUGCCUCCAGCACAGCAGCCUCGCUCUGCCAGGGCUGCGAGGGCACCUCACCAGCUCUGCUGCUGCUCUUCAG
rnacentral:lncRNA from 1 species